UACGGGAGGCAGCAGUGGGGAAUAUUGGGCAAUGGGGGAAACCCUGACGCAGCAACGCCGCGUGAAGGAAGAAGGCCUUCGGGUUGUAAACUUUUGUUGCAAGGGAAGAAUAAUGACGGUACCUUGUGAGGAAGCCACGGCUAACUACGUGCCAGCAGCCGCGGUAAU
rnacentral:rRNA from 1 species